CACGUAGGGCGCGAGCGUUGUCCGGAAUUAUUGGGCGUACAGAGCUCGUAGGCGGCCUGUUGCGUCCGCUGUGAAAGCCCGGGGCUUAACCCCGGGUCGGCAGUGGAUACGGGCAGGCUAGAGGUAGGUAGGGGAGAAUGGAAUUCCCGGUGUAGCGGUGAAAUGCGCAGAUAUCGGGAGGAACACCGGUGGCGAAGGCGGUUCUCUGGGCCUUACCUGACGCUGAGGAGCGAAAGCGUGGGGAGCGAACAGG
rnacentral:rRNA from 1 species